CCAAUAGCGUAUAUUAAAGUUGCUGCAGUUAAAAAGCUCGUAGUUGAAUUUCGGGAUCAAUAUGUUGGUCGUGCCUUGGUACGUACUAGCUUAUUGAUUUCUCCUUUCUGACGAACCAUGAUGUCAUUAAUUUGGUGUCAUGGGGAAUCAGGACUGUUACUUUGAAAAAAUUAGAGUGUUUAAAGCAGGCUCGCGCUUGAAUACAUUAGCAUGGAAUAAUGAAAUAGGACAUUUGAUUCUAUUUUGUUGGUUUCUAGGAUCGAUGUAAUGAUUAAUAGGGAUAGUUGGGGGCAUUAGUAUUCAAUUGUCAGAGGUGAAAUUCUUGGAUUUAUUGAAGACUAACUACUGCGAAAGCAUUUGCCAAGGAUGUUUUCAUUAAUCAAGAACGAAAGUUAGGGGAUCGAAGAUGAUCAGAUACCGUCGUAGUCUUAACCAUAAACUAUGCCGACUAGGGAUCGGAUGAUGUUAAUUUUUUAAUGACUCAUUCGGCGCCUUAC
rnacentral:rRNA from 1 species